rnacentral:rRNA from 1 species
UACGAAGGUCCCAAGCGUUAUCCGGAUUUAUUGGGUUUAAAGGGUGCGUAGGCGGGCUAUUAAGUCAGUGGUGAAAGCCCCAAGCUUAACUUGGGAACUGCCAUUGAUACUGAUGGUCUUAAGUACAUUUGAGGUGGGCGGAAUGUGUCAUGUAGCGGUGAAAUGCUUAGAUAUGACACAGAACACCGAUUGCGAAGGCAGCUCACUAAACUGUAACUGACGCUGAGGCACGAAAGCGUGGGGAGCAAACAGG